rnacentral:rRNA from 1 species
AGCGAACGCUGGCGGCAGGCCUAACACAUGCAAGUCGAACGAACUCUUCGGAGUUAGUGGCGGACGGGUGAGUAACACGUGGGAACGUGCCUUUUGGUUCGGAAUAACUCAGGGAAACUUGUGCUAAUACCGAAUGUGCCCUUCGGGGGAAAGAUUUAUCGCCAUUAGAGCGGCCCGCGUCUGAUUAGCUAGUUGGUGAGGUAACGGCUCACCAAGGCGACGAUCAGUAGCUGGUCUGAGAGGAUGACCAGCCACACUGGGACUGAGACACGGCCCAGACUCCUACGGGAGGGAGCAGUGGGGAAUCUUGCGCAAUGGGCGAAAGCCUGACGCAGCCAUGCCGCGUGAAUGAUGAAGGUCUUAGGAUUGUAAAAUUCUUUCACCGGGGACGAUAAUGACGGUACCCGGAGAAGAAGCCCCGGCUAACUUCGUG